rnacentral:rRNA from 1 species
UACGUAGGGGGCUAGCGUUGUCCGGAAUUAUUGGGCGUAAAGAGCUCGUAGGCGGUCUGUCGCGUCGGACGUGAAAACCCAGGGCUCAACCCUGGGCCUGCGUUCGAUACGGGCAGACUAGAGUUCGGUAGGGGAGACUGGAAUUCCUGGUGUAGCGGUGAAAUGCGCAGAUAUCAGGAGGAACACCGGUGGCGAAGGCGGGUCUCUGGGCCGAAACUGACGCUGAGGAGCGAAAGCGUGGGGAGCGAACAGG